AAAUUGAAGAGUUUGAUCAUGGCUCAGAUUGAACGCUGGCGGCAGGCCUAACACAUGCAAGUCGAACGGUAACAGGAAAAAGCUUGCUUUUUUGCUGACGAGUGGCGGACGGGUGAGUAAUGUCUGGGAAACUGCCUGAUGGAGGGGGAUAACUACUGGAAACGGUAGCUAAUACCGCAUAACGUCGCAAGACCAAAGAGGGGGACCUUCGGGCCUCUUGCCAUCGGAUGUGCCCAGAUGGGAUUAGCUUGUUGGUGGGGUAACGGCUCACCAAGGCGACGAUCCCUAGCUGGUCUGAGAGGAUGACCAGCCACACUGGAACUGAGACACGGUCCAGACUCCUACGGGAGGCAGCAGUGGGGAAUAUUGCACAAUGGGCGCAAGCCUGAUGCAGCCAUGCCGCGUGUAUGAAGAAGGCCUUCGGGUUGUAAAGUACUUUCAGCGGGGAGGAAGGGAGUAAAGUUAAUACCUUUGCUCAUUGACGUUACCCGCAGAAGAAGCACCGGCUAACUCCGUGCCAGCAGCCGCGGUAAUACGGAGGGUGCAAGCGUUAAUCGGAAUUACUGGGCGUAAAGCGCACGCAGGCGGUUUGUUAAGUCAGAUGUGAAAUCCCCGGGCUCAACCUGGGAACUGCAUCUGAUACUGGCAAGCUUGAGUCUCGUAGAGGGGGGUAGAAUUCCAGGUGUAGCGGUGAAAUGCGUAGAGAUCUGGAGGAAUACCGGUGGCGAAGGCGGCCCCCUGGACGAAGACUGACGCUCAGGUGCGAAAGCGUGGGGAGCAAACAGGAUUAGAUACCCUGGUAGUCCACGCCGUAAACGAUGUCGACUUGGAGGUUGUGCCCUUGAGGCGUGGCUUCCGGAGCUAACGCGUUAAGUCGACCGCCUGGGGAGUACGGCCGCAAGGUUAAAACUCAAAUGAAUUGACGGGGGCCCGCACAAGCGGUGGAGCAUGUGGUUUAAUUCGAUGCAACGCGAAGAACCUUACCUGGUCUUGACAUCCACGGAAGUUUUCAGAGAUGAGAAUGUGCCUUCGGGAACCGUGAGACAGGUGCUGCAUGGCUGUCGUCAGCUCGUGUUGUGAAAUGUUGGGUUAAGUCCCGCAACGAGCGCAACCCUUAUCCUUUGUUGCCAGCGGUCCGGCCGGGAACUCAAAGGAGACUGCCAGUGAUAAACUGGAGGAAGGUGGGGAUGACGUCAAGUCAUCAUGGCCCUUACGACCAGGGCUACACACGUGCUACAAUGGCGCAUACAAAGAGAAGCGACCUCGCGAGAGCAAGCGGACCUCAUAAAGUGCGUCGUAGUCCGGAUUGGAGUCUGCAACUCGACUCCAUGAAGUCGGAAUCGCUAGUAAUCGUGGAUCAGAAUGCCACGGUGAAUACGUUCCCGGGCCUUGUACACACCGCCCGUCACACCAUGGGAGUGGGUUGCAAAAGAAGUAGGUAGCUUAACCUUCGGGAGGGCGCUUACCACUUUGUGAUUCAUGACUGGGGUGAAGUCGUAACAAGGUAACCGUAGGGGAACCUGCGGUUGGAUCACCUCCUUACCUUAAAGAAGC
rnacentral:rRNA from 1 species